GAUGAACGCUAGCGGCAGGCUUAACACAUGCAAGUCGAGCGAGAAAGUACUUCGGUACGAGUACAGCGGCGGACGGGUGAGUAACGCGUAGGAAUCUACCUAGUAGUGGGGGACAACUCGUGGAAACGCGAGCUAAUACCGCAUACGCCCUACGGGGGAAAGCGGGGGAUCUUCGGACCUCGUGCUAUUAGAUGAGCCUGCGUAAGAUUAGCUAGUUGGUGGGGUAAAGGCCUACCAAGGCGACGAUCUUUAGCUGGUCUGAGAGGAUGAUCAGCCACACCGGGACUGAGACACGGCCCGG
rnacentral:rRNA from 1 species